UACGUAGGGGGCAAGCGUUGUCCGGAAUUACUGGGCGUAAAGGGUGCGUAGGUGGUUUCUUAAGUCAGAGGUGAAAGGCUACGGCUCAACCGUAGUAAGCCUUUGAAACUGGGGAACUUGAGUGCAGGAGAGGAGAGUGGAAUUCCUAGUGUAGCGGUGAAAUGCGUAGAUAUUAGGAGGAACACCAGUUGCGAAGGCGGCUCUCUGGACUGUAACUGACACUGAGGCACGAAAGCGUGGGGAGCAAACAGGAUUAGAUACCCGCGUAGUCCCUGAGCGGG
rnacentral:rRNA from 1 species